ACAGUCUUGUUUGAUUUAAUUUUUAUAUGUUUAGUUCUGUUAGACAAAUAUACAGUGAACAAUAGGCAGCAAAGAUUCAACAACCUACCUUAACACCCCUCCGUCUCCGUCAACAACAAAAAUAUCUUUAAUCUUUUCCUCUUUAUGCUCCACUUCCCCCAGUGUCUUUAUCUUCCAUCUGAACCGGAUUGAAAAAGACAAAAAUGGCAUAAAAGGAAAGUUGAAUCAUCCAGUGGUUCUUUGCAGAGCACUGGAUCUUUCCGGUCUCCUGCCUGCCACACAGGAGGCAUUCCGGUACAAGCUGGUGAGUGUUAUCAGCCAUAUAGGAUCAGGAACUGACGAUGGUCAUUUUCUAAGUGAAAUACUUCUGGUGGGGGCAGGCGUCACUCGAGACGGCUGGCACACCUACAAUAACGAAAUUGUGAAAACAAUCUGCAUCCAUCCUCUUCUACGAACGCCAGGUGGAUCCGGCCCUUCCCAACAAGGGAUGACAUGUUUCAAGCUAACAUUCAUGAAUGGUUUCUUCUCCACAUAAUGGACACACCAUAUAAGGUUUUAUGAGUUUGUAGACGGGUUAAGGACUACAAAUAUGGCCACUUUGCCAUUUCCGCUAAGGCAAUGACAGACCAAAGGUUUACCUGGGUAAAUUAGAACAUUAAGGCGUGGCUUAUUUACAAGUCCGACCACUUCCAAUAUAAAUUUUUCUUACCUGUGUUCGAGAGAUGCUUCAUGAACCACCUCCAGAACAUAAGCUUCUUUACCAUGUCUUUGUUGUAAUAAACCACUUGUUGAAUAUUUACCACUCUCCGAGUCAUACCUAGCCCGAG
ensembl:lncRNA